CAGAAUUACCCAAUCCCGACACGGGGAGGUAGUGACAAUAAAUACUGAUACAGGGCUCUUUUGGGUCUUGUAAUCGGAAUGAGUACAAUUUAAAUCCCUUAACGAGGAACAAUUGGAGGGCAAGUCUGGUGCCAGCAGCCGCGGUAAUUCCAGCUCCAAUAGCGUAUAUUAAAGUUGUUGUGGUUAAAAAGCUCGUAGUUGAACCUUGGGCCUGGCUGGCCGGUCCGCCUCACCGCGUGCACUGGUCCGGCCGGGCCUUUCCCUCUGCGGAACCCCAUGCCCUUCACUGGGUGUGGCGGGGAAACAGGACUUUUACUUUGAAAAAAUUAGAGUGCUCAAGGCAGGCCUAUGCUCGAAUACAUUAGCAUGGAAUAAUAGAAUAGGACGUGUGGUUCUAUUUUGUUGGUUUCUAGGACCGCCGUAAUGAUUAAUAGGGACAGUCGGGGGCAUCAGUAUUCAAUUGUCAGAGGUGAAAUUCUUGGAUUUAUUGAAGACUAACUAC
rnacentral:rRNA from 1 species